rnacentral:rRNA from 1 species
GACGUAGGGCGCGAGCGUUGUCCGGAUUUAUUGGGCGUAAAGAGCUCGUAGGCGGCUUGUCGCGUCGACCGUGAAAACUUGGGGCUCAACCCCAAGCCUGCGGUCGAUACGGGCAGGCUAGAGUUCGGUAGGGGAGACUGGAAUUCCUGGUGUAGCGGUGAAAUGCGCAGAUAUCAGGAGGAACACCGGUGGCGAAGGCGGGUCUCUGGGCUGACACUGACGCUCAUGCACGAAAGCGUGGGGAGCGAACAGG